GAUGAACGCUGGCGGCGUGCCUAAUACAUGCAAGUCGAGCGAACAGACGAGGAGCUUGCUCCUCUGACGUUAGCGGCGGACGGGUGACUAACACGUGGAUAACCUACCUAUAAGACUGGGAUAACUUCGGGAAACCGGAGCUAAUACCAGAUAAUAUAUUGAACCGCAUGGUUCAAUAGUGAAAGACGGUUUUGCUGUCACUUAUAGAUGGAUCCGCGCCGCAUUAGCUAGUUGGUAAGGUAACGGCUUACCAAGGCAACGAUGCGUAGCCGACCUGAGAGGGUGAUCGGCCACACUGGAACUGAGACACGGUCCAGACUCCUACGGGAGGCAGCAGUAGGGAAUCUUCCGCAAUGGGCGAAAGCCUGACGGAGCAACGCCGCGUGAGUGAUGAAGGUCUUCGGAUCGUAAAACUCUGUUAUUAGGGAAGAACAAAUGUGUAAGUAACUAUGCACGUCUUGACGGUACCUAAUCAGAAAGCCACGGCUAACUACGUG
rnacentral:rRNA from 1 species